UGGAGAUGAGGGGAAUGGGGACUGUGUGUGUGGAGACAUGGCUUUCUGGGGAUGCUCUUCACAUUAGAUAGAAGAGAGGAUACAGUGAGGGUCACAGAGUUAGGGGAGGCUCUGAUGGCUCGCUUUCCUGGAGUGACAGCUGGCAGGCAGCUGUAGAGAGACAGUGUGUGUGUGUUAACAGCCACAGUGACUGGGUGUUUAUUGAAUUGCUGUGGAUUUUCUAAAAGCAAAGCAAGCAUACUAAAUUGCUGCAAAUUACCAAGGGCUUUCCUAAUGUUCGAUAAAAAUACUGUGAACAUUUAAGGACACAGGCUCUGAAAACAGUUCUGAAUGUGGUUGCAGGGCAGCUCUUGCACUGAGAACAAAUACUCUGGCUUGUCAAUACAAAUCAGUGGAGUUAGUAGAAUGGGGAUCACACCAGAAGCUGGACAUUGCAAACUCAGGGAAGCAUGAGGAAUUUCACUGCCUUCCAGCAAUUAAAUUGCAUUCAAGAAUUCUACAGUAGCCUUGGUGGUCUGCAACGACAUUUCAGGGAUUAGAUGCUCUAUCUCCUGUCUGCAGACACAUGAGCAGAACCCAGGAUGGAAGAAUGUAAUCACCAGCGUGACUCCAGUGAUGGAGAUGAACUAGAUGUGGAGACUGGGGAGCAGCAGAGUCAACUCAGUUAUCAUCUUGGCGGCCGGGCUGCCGUCCAGCUCACAGAAGCCACCUGAUCCGGAAAAGAUUUCCAAAGCCUGCUGGAGUAAGUUUGGCAGUGCUGUUUCCAUACAGGCAGAGGCCAGUGUCAUCUCCAGCACCUGGGGGACAUAAGAGAAAGAGCCAGUGGCCUCCAAGACAAUCUCAGGUGAAUACGCUUGACCCAGACGAGGGAAGGAUCACACAAACUCUCCGUUGAUGUAUGUGGCAGUUAAUAAAUCAUUUUCAAGAAGC
rnacentral:lncRNA from 1 species